GUCUUCAACCAUAGCACCCUGAACAUACCCGAUUUCCUCUGAUCUUGGAAGCUAGGCAGGGUGAGGCCUGGUACGUACUUGGAUGGGAGAUCCCUGGAUUUUCAGUCC
rnacentral:rRNA from 1 species